rnacentral:rRNA from 1 species
AUGCUGUCGAGGAUCUCCCGCCUUGGCGUCCACGCCCUGAACCGGGCGAGGCUAGGUCAAAAGUCAGUAACUUCAAGGAAUCAGGAAGAACCCAUCAGAGCCUGUAUGAACUAUGUGGGUAAUCAUUCUCUAUGUUCCGCCACGGAAGCUAAAGUCAGUGACAGGAGCGAACAGCCGAAAGCUAAGAUAUCUGUGACAUUUGUUGAUAAGGAUGGCGAUGAAACGGUUAUCAAUGUUCCUAUUGGGAUGUCAAUGCUGGAAGCUGCUCAUGAGAAUGACAUAGAACUUGAAGGAGCAUGUGAGGGCUCUCUUGCAUGUUCUACCUGUCAUGUGAUUGUAACGGACGUAGACUACUAUAACAAAUUGGAAGAUCCUGAAGAUGAGGAAAACGAUAUGCUGGACCUUGCUUUUGGGCUUACAGAAACAUCUCGCCUUGGUUGCCAAGUAAUUGCAAGCCCUGAACUUGAUGGCAUAAGAUUAGCACUGCCAGCAGCUACCAGAAAUUUUGCUGUUGAUGGGCAUGUCCCGAAACCACACUGA